UACGGAGGAUGCGAGCGUUAUCCGGAAUUAUUGGGCUUAAAGGGUCCGCAGGCGGACAGGUAAGUCAGUAGUGAAAAACCUGGGCUUAACCCCGGUCGUGCUACAGUGGAACUGCCCUGGAAACUGGAGAACUUGAGUACAGACGAGGGCGGCGGAAUGGAUGGUGUAGCGGUGAAAUGCAUAGAUACCAUCCAGAACCCCGAUUGCGAAGGCAGCUGCCUAGACUGUAACUGACGCUGAGGCACGAAAGCGUGGGGAGCAAACAGG
rnacentral:rRNA from 1 species